UUACUUAGAAGAAAGUUUGGAAUAUUUUCCAGGAUAUUGACAAUUAACAAGGUUUGCAAAUGCAGUGUUCCAGGCUGUACAGGGAAUGGAGACACUUCUCAUAGCCUUCCCAAGGAAGCAAACACUCGACGGGCAUGGCUGCUGUUUAUAAGGAGAUCCCAAGGAACUUUUCCCCCAAAGACAGUUUUCAAAACUUCGGACAAUUUAAAGCAGGAUUUGCUAAACUGCGGUUGCUGUUCCGACUGUACGGUCAUCCCAACCCCAAGCUAGCACAUCACAAGAAAGUCAAGACACGAAAGAUGCAGCUUGCCAAACAGAUGCUCCGAGUGUGGCAUCUAGGAGGACACAACUGUCUCAUAUGAAAUUAAGACCUCACAUAUCAUACAAGGUUGUAUCUUGCAGCCACAAUGGAAGACAGCCGAGGGGAAACUAAUGUCCAGACGUCUGUUCCCAAAGGCCAAAAGGGGAGGUUACACCGUCAAAGAAGUUAAGACAGAGCCAACAAUUUGCUAUGUCUUAGACCUGAUGCGACUGGUGUUUGAGGAGAUCAUCCAUGACCCCCUUCCUUAUCUGGAAGCAGUCUGGCAGAUUCCUGUGCCCCAGGACCUGUGUGCUCAGCUCGACAGGCACCCAACCCGACAUACUGCCCUGAAGCCUCCAGAAACUCCCUCCGUAUACGCAGCAUGAGUGGGACAUCACGACACGGACACUUCUACCAAGAAAACCCCAGUACCAGCUCACCAA